AACGAACGCUGGCGGCAGGCUUAACACAUGCAAGUCGAACGGGUGUAGCAAUACAUCAGUGGCAGACGGGUGAGUAACACGUGGGAACCUUCCUAGGGGUACGGAACAACUCAGGGAAACUUGAGCUAAUACCGUAUACGUCCGUGAGGAGAAAGAUUUAUCGCCCUUAGACGGGCCCGCGUCGGAUUAGGUAGUUGGUGGGGUAACGGCCUACCAAGCCUACGAUCCGUAGCUGAUCUGAGAGGAUGAUCGGCCACACUGGGACUGAGACACGGCCCAGACUCCUACGGGAGGCAGCAGUGGGGAAUCUUGGACAAUGGGCGCAAGCCUGAUCCAGCCAUGCCGCGUGAGUGAAGAAGGCCUUAGGGUUGUAAAGCUCUUUUACCAGGGACGAUAAUGACGGUACCUGGAGAAUAAGCCCCGGCAAACUUCGUGCCAGCAGCCGCCGUAAGAC
rnacentral:rRNA from 1 species